CGUACACUCCUGCGGGAGGCAGCAGUGGGGAAUAUUGCACAAUGGGCGCAAGCCUGGUGCAGCCAUGCCGCGUGUAUGAAGAAGGCCUUCGGGUUGUAAAGUACUUUCAGCGGGGAGGAAGGCGAUAAGGUUAAUAACCUUGUCGAUUGACGUUACCCGCAGAAGAAGCACCGGCUAACUCCGUGCCAGCAGCCGCGGUAAUACGGAGGGUGCAAGCGUUAAUCGGAAUUACUGGGCGUAAAGCGCACGCAGGCGGUCUGUCAAGUCGGAUGUGAAAUCCCCGGGCUCAACCUGGGAACUGCAUUCGAAACUGGCAGGCUAGAGUCUUGUAGAGGGGGGUAGAAUUCCAGGUGUAGCGGUGAAAUGCGUAGAGAUCUGGAGGAAUACCGGUGGCGAAGGCGGCCCCCUGGACAAAGACUGACGCUCAGGUGCGAAAGCGUGGGGAGCAAACAGGAUUAGAAACCCCAGUAGUCCCAU
rnacentral:rRNA from 1 species